rnacentral:rRNA from 1 species
UCAUUAGUUUUUUAAUUGAAAGCUUGUAUGAAUGGUUUGAUGAGAAAAUUUCUGUCUCAAUUUUAAUUUUUUAAAAUUUUAUUUUUAAGUAAAAAAGCUUAGAUUAAUUUAAAAGACGAGAAGACCCUAUAGAGUUUUAUUAAAAAUAUUUUUAUAAAUUUUAGAAUUCAUUUUUUUUAAUAUUAUUUUUAAUUGGGUUGGGGUGACUAAAAAAUUAAUUAAACUUUUUUUUUAUUUUUACAUUGAUUUAUGAUUAAUUGAUCCAUAUAAAUGAUUAAAAGAUUAAAUUACCUUAGGGAUAACAGCGUAAUUUUUUUUUAAAGUUCUUAUUGAAAGAAAAGAUUGCGACCUCGAUGUUGGAUUAAAAUUUAUUUUUGGUGUAGGAGCUAAAA